UAACUACGUGCCAGCAGCCGCGGUAAUACGUAGGUGGCAAGCGUUGUCCGGAAUUAUUGGGCGUAAAGCGCGCGCAGGCGGUUUCUUAAGUCUGAUGUGAAAGCCCCCGGCUCAACCGGGGAGGGUCAUUGGAAACUGGGGAACUUGAGUGCAGAAGAGGAGAGUGGAAUUCCACGUGUAGCGGUGAAAUGCGUAGAGAUGUGGAGGAACACCAGUGGCGAAGGCGACUCUCUGGUCUGUAACUGACGCUGAGGCGCGAAAGCGUGGGGAGCGAACAGGAUUAGAUACCCUGGUAGUCCACGCCGUAAACGAUGAGUGCUAAGUGUUAGAGGGUUUCCGCCCUUUAGUGCUGCAGCAAACGCAUUAAGCACUCCGCCUGGGGAGUACGGUCGCAAGACUGAAACUCAAAGGAAUUGACGGGGGCCCGCACAAGCGGUGGAGCAUGUGGUUUAAUUCGAAGCAACGCGAAGAACCUUACCAGGUCUUGACAUCCUCUGACAACCCUAGAGAUAGGGCUUCCCCUUCGGGGGCAGAGUGACAGGUGGUGCAUGGUUGUCGUCAGCUCGUGUCGUGAGAUGUUGGGUUAAGUCCCGCAACGAGCGCAACCCUUGAUCUUAGUUGCCAGCAUUCAGUUGGGCACUCUAAGGUGACUGCCGGUGACAAACCGGAGGAAGGUGGGGAUGACGUCAAAUCAUCAUGCCCCUUAUGACCUGGGCUACACACGUGCUACAAUGGGCAGAACAAAGGGCAGCGAAGCCGCGAGGCUAAGCCAAUCCCACAAAUCUGUUCUCAGUUCGGAUCGCAGUCUGCAAC
rnacentral:rRNA from 1 species